rnacentral:lncRNA from 1 species
CCUAAAGCAAAAUUGUUUGGAAUUGUCUUUUUCUGUUAUAGUUAUUCCAAGCAUCAUAUAGAGAAUUUUGAGAUUUUUCUUUAUAUUUUUCCUUUGAUUAUCUGCCAGAUGUCGGGUGUACAGGAAAUGUUACGACUCAGUUUGUGUAAUGCUUUCGUGAUGCAGAUCUUCCUCAUUUGUGUAGAUUAACUGGGUUUAUGGAGCAACGUGUAUUUUUUACAAAAACUGUCAAUCUGCUCUUUCUUGUGUCUCAUUUUCAUCAUCAGUGUAUACCACUUGGGAUGCAGGGGCAGGCAUGUUUCAGACCAACCCCAAAAUACAGCGGGUUUUUGUAUGCACCAUCUUGUUGACCUUUCUUAGCAUUACCUUCCGACUUAAGUAUUGAAUAUUAAGGCAAGACAUUAUUGUAAUGAAAUCUGAAUUCCCUAGGCCUAGACACCACUUUCCCUCAUUUUGUCUGUUAAAGGAUUAGUCU